rnacentral:rRNA from 1 species
CCUGAUGACCAUAGCAAGUCGGUCCCACCCCUUCCCAUCCCGAACAGGACCGUGAAACGACUUUGCGCCGAUGAUAGUGCUGCAACC